UAUUGGGUGAAUCACGUUCUUU
rnacentral:siRNA from 1 species